AACUAUCAAGAUGCCAUUUCAUCACCAUCUUGGAUUCUAAGGAUAGCUGACAGUUACAAUGAGUUUAUGAAGAUUCUCUCGGAGUUUCUCCCGAUUGGCUUUGGAGUUGGGAGAGACAUACCCUAUUCCCUUAUAUGGGGUUGGUAGGGAGAGGAAAAGCACUGCACUCCUACACAAGGAGACCUUUCGUUCUCUCUCCAGUUGUCCUCUCUACACUAAUGUGCAGGGUGUGGAUGGUGGAGAUGGUGUUGGAGCAAGUUCUGCUGAAAUCCCAUCUCUCAGCAAGACCUGUAGGAGGUGCUUGGCCCCGGUACUUGGCAGCUGUCUUAGCAGAAUUCACAAGACUAAUCUCAUUCCUGAGCAUUAGGAAACGGUAGUAGUCACUCAUCUGUCUCUCUAGUUUCUAGAAUUGUGAAGGUUCAGUAUUCUGUCUCUGCAUUCUCUGGUUUGUGACACUUGAUAAUCUGCUUGGUCACAAAUUGUCAGCAAGAUUGGAACUGCCAGCCUUAUCCUCACUCCUCCUUUGCUACAAGAUUUUCUCUUGCUUCCCUGAGCAAACCUGCUGGAGUGGGGGAAAAACAAAACCCCCCAAAAAAGGACCAAGCAGAGUGCCUUGUGCAUAGCAGGCCCUCACUAUAAAUAAUUAAGAAGAGAUAAGGAAAUGAAGAGGGAGGAGGAAGGAAGGAACAUGGCAGGAGAAAAUGUGGAGUAAAUGGCUGAAGGGCACAGAAAUGCAAGAUGACUAAGGUCUAAGGAUCUAAUACACGGCAUGGUGUCCAUAGUUAACAAUAUUGUACUGCAAACUUAAAAUUUGAUAAAAGUAUAGAUUUUAAGUAUUUUUACCGCACAAACGCAAAGAUAACUCUGUGAGAUGAUAGGUAUAUGUGAAACCUUGCCAUAGUGGUAGAAGAAACAAGAAUACAUGGAAGAAAGAAGGGAAAAGAUGUCUCAUACUAAUCCAGGACUUACAAGUAUAAUCAUUGCUAACAUUUUGAUCUGAUAUGAAUUCUUGCUGAGGAGUCAAGCGAGAAGUUAUCUGAUCCACUAAGGACAGGAA